UGCAACAAGCAGUAAAACAAAAAAAAAAAAAACGGAUAAAAAUAAAGAAAAAUCGUCAAAUUCCUAUACAAAACAUUGCACAGACAAUAACAUGCGUGUGUGUGUGUGCGCGUAACUUUGGAUUCGCAUGUGUGUGUGAGUGAGAACCAGCAAGUGAAGCUUUAAUGCAAACGAGCUAACCAGAAGAAAAGCAACAACAAAAGUGAUUAAGUAAAUGAGAAAAAUAACAAGAGGAGCAAAAAAUAAAAAAAAACAAACGUGCUGAGCUUUUUUAAACUUGUGUUGAUACAAAUGUGGGGCUUCAUCGUCUCUGCUUCUAUUUCGGUUUGCGUCGUCGUUGUCUCAUUUAUCUCUAUAUUUUUACGUUUACGUUUACGUUCGGGCGUGCGCGAGCGCGACUAACGCGUUCCACAUCCAUAAGUGUGGAAUGCAUUUGUGUGUGUGUUUGUGUGUGUGUGUGUGUGGAACUUACUAUCAAAACGGUCUCAAGCUUAAAAGCUUUACAACAUGCAAGCAUUCAUCAUGUAUAAUAUAUAUAUAAAAAGUUAAAAAUUGCCUGUAUGUGUGCGUGGGCGUGUGUGUGUGUGUGUGCCUGUGCGUACGUUGGUGUGUGUAUUAGAAAUGUGAUACUCAGUGGAAAGAUAAGACAACGUUGUUGAAUUUUUGAUAGAACCCAUCCAUGAGGCAUGUGAGCCUCAAGCUUAUUGCAAAAAAUUAAGAUAAUUUCUGUGUAGGAAACAAUUUAUAAUAAUGCAUGUGAAAAAUAUAAAAUGUGUGUGUAAAUUAACUGUAUUCAAUAUAUGUACAUUUGCUUUGCAAGAUGGACAACAAAGUAUCAGCUGCUGCAGCCAUUGAUAUGCACACAUGUUUUGCGUCUAUACAUACAUAGGGAUAUACAUACAUAGAUCAAAUUCACAACUACAUACAUAUUCGCGCGAAUUCAAUGCUUGCUCAAUUCAAAUAAUUGCAACCUCUUUUGUACGGCGGAGAAUACGCGACGCGUAGAAUGCUUGUUGUAAACAAAUCGAAUUUCUGAAAAGUUGGCAAAUACAAAUCGCAAUAUGGGUCAGACCUCCAGUCACAGGCAAACCCAAACCCACUCGAGUCACAACAACAAUAACAAGGAAGAGCCCGUCGCCGGGCAGUUUGCGAGCCGCCGCACCUCAGCCCGCAAAUCGAAAUCCUCCUCCAAGCAUUAUGCGACGCUGGUGCAGCAGCCCCUGCACAAGGAUGAGCUAUCCAUAUUGCGCGAUUCGCUGCUACGCAACGGCAGUAUUAUGCGCAAGAACAUGUCCGAUCCCCAGCGCCGGCCGGUCACCAUAAGCGAGCUAUCGCCGCCCCAGCCGCAGGCGAGCGUCGGCUCGCAGGAUUACGUUGUCGGAGCUGCGGAUAGCAACAGCACCACGAAUCUGAUUAGCUUUCAGCUGCCGGUCGAUUGCAGUGCCAAAGUGGAGGAUGUGUCAUUGGCAUCCGCAUCGGCAUCGGCAUCGGCUACGGCGGCCUCAAAAGAGACUCGCAAUGAGUUCUACAUUGUCGGCGAUGGGUAUCACAAGACGGACUAUUGCCAUUAUCGUACGCCGAAUGGAAAUUUCCACAAGCUGCCAUCCGACUCGUUCCACAAGAUGUCCGAGGGCUGCUUUGUGCGCAUGGCCGACGGCGUGUUCCGGCGCCUCGAGCUGCCCGCCAAAGCGCAGCAGGUGUCCUGUCGCGCCUCCAAGCUGGGCGAUAUUUCUGGCGCGGACAGCAACGAAAAUGGCCUCGGCGCAACCAGUGUCAAGCGACAGCUGUUGAAUUUCCUCAAAAGGUCAAAGAGUCACACGCCCGCAACAAUUGCCAAGCUCCAAAAGGACAAGGAUGACGCGCGCCUCGAACGCAAACAACGCCUCUCGAACGCCAUGCGACAAAAGGCGCUGCAGCUGAAAACUUCGUCGGCGAACACGCCCAACAACAAAAUCGUUGUCACCAUGAUCGAGAACGGUGGACUUCCAAUCGUGGCCACCAGCAAAGCCGACCGACCCAAGUGCAAGGACAGCGCCUCCGUUGCCGCGGAAAAGGCGCGUACUUCAAGGAUAAUCUGUGUUCAUGCAAUUACCCUAUACCUAACACAAAACCGAUUGCUCUUCACACCCAGCAAUAUAUACGCCAUUUUUAUAAUUUUUAUUUUUAGUAAAAAUAGGAAAAAUAGGGAUUCAUUAAUCCAUUGCACGGCUUGAUGAUAUCUAAAAGAUAAGACUCGAUAAGAAGAACAACAAUCUAUCUAGAAGAUGAUAUCGUAGACAACAGGCUUUCGUUCUUUUACCAUAAUAACCUCUAUUUGACAGCUAGUCUUAUCUGAAUGCAAACGCGUUGGAAUGAGUACGCGCGAGUUGCCAGAUAAUCAUUCGCGUACUCUUAUUCGUUUCUGUUAAUAUUCUUUUUUCACCCGUUUUCCUUGCCUUGAUUUAUUUUAAUUUGUAAUUCAACUGAAUAUUUCCAAGUGUCUUAUUGAUAAUUUCCCCAAUGUUUGUCAGUAUUGCUUUUUAAAGCCUGUAUCUGUAACAGAAAUUCGUAGAUAGAUAAUUUAUUCAAUUGUCUUUCAACAAUAUAUAAGAACAACUGACAAACUAUUGGGACGAUCCAGACUUUGAAACUUUCUUAAAACAAUAGAAAUCUUUUUGCGGAAUCAUUAUUUGAUUCAUAAAAGGAAGAGUAUUCCAGAUGAGAGAAUACAUUUAUUUUUUUUAAAUAACUUUGUCAGUUAAAUUUAUCUUAUAAGUAUGUCACAGGCAGAAGGAAGCAUUUCUAAACAUAUAUAGAUAAUAUAUGUUAAUACUAGCUUGUAUUCUGGCCUGGUCCCGGCCCCAUCUGCCGCUCUCCUUACGCAAGGUUAUAUUGUAGAUAUGUUUUUGAAAUUAAGUUUGAAGUCCAUUGACUUAGGAACCACAAAUUGGAUACAAUAUUUUAAAUAGUUUCGUGGUGAGAUGCUUGAAACCGAAAUAAAAGCUUUAAUCCGCAUUUAGCAUCAGAAAGGGGUGGAUUUUGCGAAAGUGUGAAAAGGCUAAAAUGAAAUUUCUGGGGUGCAGGGUAUCUCCUCGUCGUGCAGGCCCGAAUUUAACUUAGCUUAUAGCUUAUUAAGGACAAUAAUGUAAAAAAAAAAAAUCUGUGCACAGAUUUUCCGACAUUUGUUUCCACUUUGUGGAUUUCCCAACUGUGAAAAGUUCUGAUUUCUCGACUGCGACUCAUCCAUCAGUUUAUUUGUCUGAAAGGACAAAUAAUAAUUGAUUCCAGUUUGCAGAAAUAUGUAUAUAAAUAAUCUUAACUCGGCGAUAUCUCGAUCGAGAACAUCUAAAUAUUUUGAGACAAAGUUGUUCCUACUGCAAGAAUCUAAAAAGAAGGAAAUAAUAUAAACAUAUAUACGUACAUAUUCAUGUUUACAUAUGUAUGUAUUUCUGUUGUGCUUAAUGAAUGAAGCUUUGGUUUUAUGCAUUUUUGCUUAACCUUGAUUAAUUUGCCAAAUCAUAUUUACAAAAAGAUGUCGCAUUGCAAGUUGCUUAUUGUUAGUUUUAAAAGUUUUGACGCUUAAUUGAAAUACUCUGCAGAAGCUCCAAAUUUCGCACACAAACUUGUCUGACACUGUUUCUGUGUCAGGUAAGCUAACAAUUCUUUCUCAGCGUUACGCUCAGGUGAUAUCAGUUUGCUCUUACACACACAUGCACACAUGCGUAAAUAUCCACAUCAGUCGCGCACACAUGCAUACUUACACAUAGUCAUGCACACACGAGUGCUUCAGACUAUAGUGCUCGACUUGUAGAUGCCCCGCACCCAACUCCGAGCAUACAUUUUCAAUUAUAUAUUUACAAAUUCCCACUGGCAGGUAUUUUGAAGUUCGUGCCUAGUUGUUGGGUUUAUUACUUUAAUGUUAAGGGAAUAAGAAACGGUAUUCUGCGUAUUAUUCACGUUUAUAUGCCUUCUAAAUGCACAUGCACAUGAUACAGGGUAUUAAAAUCAGCGCACCAAACGAGCUCUUUGUCAAGAAUAGACAGAUACGGUGGAAUUGAAAACUUGUGUGUGUGUGUGUGUAUGUGCUGUUUGUGGGUGUGUGUGUGUGUGUGUUUAACUGUAUUUGUGACUAACGAGUGUAUAUGUGUGCUGUGUGAAUGUGUGUGUUUAUUAGUGUUAGCGUGAGUGCGCGCGGAACACACUAAUACCAGUGAGCGCACCCCACUAAAAAGCGAUAUUCGCUUGCGUGUGUGUUGUGUGUGUGUGUGUGUGUGUGUGUAUUGAGGCCGACUUUUCUGUCUCUGACUCUGCUGUUGCUUGGCGUGAGUUGUUGCUGGUAUUGAUACUGGAAGUGCUCGUACUCCAGUUGCUGCUGUUACUGUGGCUAAAGUGGCUGUUGGCUGUUAGCUGCUGAGCUGUCGCUGUAGCUGUCACUGCCUGUUGACUGUUGGCUGGCGGCGUUUACGUCAGAGUUACAAACUGUGCUAAGAAAUCUUAUGAGUGUAUACGCAUACUUAUAAACAUGUAAUAUAAAUACAUGCAAGUGCAAGGCUCUAAUUGCAGACCGCGUGUGAUUGAUAAGCUCGGCGAUAAAGAAACUACAGUGCAAAUUUCAAUUUUUACAAAUUGAAAAAAAUAAGCGAUGAAAUUGCACGAUCGCAAAGUCUGACUAAACUAAUAUAAUAAAACCAAAAAAAAAAAAAAAAA